UUGAGCUAGUUUAAUAUUCUUUUGUAUAGCUCCUCGAUGGUUGGAAAACCUUACAUGUAUUUUGAUACAACAUUCCCUUUGGGGUUGUAAAUUUGCAACUAUAUGUGUAUAAAAGUGUUUAGUAAUGUUUAUGUGUACCAUUCUGUUUGUAAAUGUCUAUUUUCAAAGUUUAUAUGAUUUAAUGGUAAUCGGUUGGGUUCCAGACAGGUUCGGAUUUCAAAUGACAAAAGAAAAAUUUGGCGGGAAAAGGCAC
rnacentral:lncRNA from 1 species